GCCAUUUUUAAAAAUUGUUAAAAAUAACUAUAUUUAUUUAAAUAUAGUUAUUUUUUAUUUUUAUAUUUAUUUAAAUAUAGUUAUUUUUAACAAUUUUUAAAAAUGGCUGGCAUUUAGUUAAUUUUUGAAAGUUUUCAACUUUACUAAGAAAAACUCACCUUUUUUGAAAGAAUUAUUUUUUUUAUCUGGAAACCACAAAAAAAUUUUCAGCAAAAUAAAUAAAAAAACUAGAAAGGUUUAAAAAUAAUUUUUCAGCUGUUUAGCUCUAAAAUCACUAUGUGCCUUAAAAUUUUCAAAUACUCAUAACUCUGCGAAAAAAUUUUUUUUCGCCAAACCAAAAAAUACGUAUCUCUUUAUUUGUCAUAAAAAACAAGAAAAAUCACAUUAAACUUGAUUUAGAAUUUUCAACCUAUUCGCCCUGCAUGAAUUGAAAUAGAAACAGCCUAGUAUUAUUGAAGUUUUUAAAUACAGAAAACAUCAUGGGAAUUUUUUUUUACAAACGCUUAGUACCGUUUUAAAGCUUAAGAAAAAAAAUAUUGGUUGACUUGACGAUCCAAUCCAGGUUUUUUUAUGAUUCAUUUUCUUAGAGUGUUAGAAAAACAGAAAAUACAAUGUAGAUUUUGUCAUAUUAUGAAAAUUUUUAUAAAUGAAUAUUUAUACUCAUAUUCUUGAGUUACGUAUGAUUAUGUGCAUGUGUUCAAGGAUCAGUUAUUGUUAGUCGAAAAUGUUCACUUCAGAUCUUAUACAUAAACACGUUCUUGUUCUGAAAUGAAAUAAGAACAAAUGAAAGUUGUGAAAUGUAAACAAACCAUGGGAAUUUUUUGUCCAUUUUAAUUUGAAUAAAUAAUUAGACUCACUUUGUUUGUAAAAAUAUUUUCCACGUGAGCAUGUUGAUAAGAAUUUUUCUUAUUUGGGGGAAAAUUCAUAAAUCUUUUAUCUCCACUCGGAAAAUUAAUUAAGGGUCUGGUCCAGCCGAGAGUUUCUUCCAAUGUGUUUUUUUCAAUAAUGCUAUAUAUUUUUAAUAAAUAAAAUUUUUUUACACAGAAAGGAAUAUAUGGAGAAGAAAAUUAAAAAAAAUAUUUUAUAAAAAAUAAUUUUUUUUUAAAUUUUCUUUCUUUUCUUUUUUUUUUAGGUAUUAAUGACUUUAUGAGGAAGCAAAAUAAUUUAAAAUUAUCUGGUUUUCAAUAAAUGAGAUUCAUAAUCAGAGAUACAAAAAACUCCAGGGUAACAAGUUUGAAAGCAAAUCCGAUCACUUUUUAAACAAAAUUUCCCCAUAUUGGAUUCACCAUUUUGAGUUUUUAAAAAUCUAACUACUCAUUUGUAAUCAUCAGGAACCUUAAAAACUAUUAUGACCACUGCAGUUAUGGAUACAGUAGUUCUCAAUUUUGUCUAGAAGGAGAGAGAUAUAAUAAUCUAUAUUUAUAAACAUAUUUUUUUAAAACCAGAUAAUUUUAAACUAAUUUUUAUGCCAGGUUUCGAAAAAUUUGCUCAAAAUCUAUUUAAAAAUAUAUGUUCUAUUAAAGAAGCACAACUUCUAAACGUGCAUAAUGAUGAAUAAUAGAGCUUUUUUUUUUACUAAAAAUGGUGACUUCCAUUUACGUUUUUAAGCUUACAAAGUAUAUUUUACUGCUACGUUCUAUUCUUCUUGUACUCUGUAGACACAGGUCUAUAAUCUCGAAAAAGAUCUUUUCAUAUAUAUUGUUAUACUUCAAAGUUCUAAGAAUUUAGUAUAAAAUUUGAGAAAAUCACCCACAGUGAAAUUGUAGAAGUUCAACUACUGAACUUGUACAGGAAAAUGUUACGUAAUCAAUAUAUAGGUGUGCUAACGUGACAUUAUACAUAAAUAUACUUUAAAAUUUACCAAUGAAUUUAAGUAAAUUUAAAACUAAAGUUUCACAUCCAUAUUAACAUUAAUAUUGUUAAUAAUGCAUUUUAUAUUAAUAUGUAAUAAUUACAUUUUUUUCAAAAUCACAGAUGACUUUGUUUUAAUAUUCAGUGUGACGAAUAAUUAAUAGUUGCAAUAAAACUAGUUUGCGUUUUACGUCUACAGCAAAAGGCAGAUAAACUAAAUUCGCCAGCAUGUUUAACCCUUAGGCGCCUACACAUUGAUUAAUUACAUCAACGACAAAAUGGUUUCCCUAAAAGCAAAAAUAUGCAAUAUUUAUCGUUCACAAAAAUUUAUACCUACAUGUAAUCUAGAAAUUUAUUUUGCUUUGACCCUAUAAUUUAUAAAGAUCGAUUUCCAGAAACAAAUCUCACACAAAAUUAUGAAAUGAUCUGUAUAAUAAAAUUGUUUUUAAAUUUAUUUUACAAUGGAUCACAAUAGCCUGGAGAUACCGAAAAGCUGGACAAAACCUCAAAAUUAAAAUUUUAUAAAAUAAAAUAUGUACUUGAAAAAUCGUUAGUUGUGUACACGGAAAAACUUUGUACAAGAAUCAUUCCUAAAUUUGUUCAGGAACUGAGGUUAUGAGAAUAAUUUAAGAAAUCUUAUUUAUAUUUUCUUUGAAAAAUUCUAAACAGUAUUUCUAUAAGAAUUAUAGAGAAAUUCAAGACAGACUUCCUAAACUCACUACAGAAAGUCUUGAACUUGUUUUAGAAUAAAUUUUUACGUUUGCGAGAAAAAAAUUUACUCUGGGAGGACUCGAUCCCACGUCCUCGAGAGUCCAAAAACUCCGCUUUACAUCUCUCAGCUACCUUAGCAGCUUAUGGUAUUAUGCAUUGGAAACAUAUUUGACGCAACCAAUCCCUGCCUAGUGCUUGGUUACUGUACUGUGUAUUCUAAAACAGUUCAAGAAACUUUCAACGCCCAGUGACUGAGAUAUUCCGAUCGCGGCAUUAACAAGAAGUCUUUCAAUGUUAUAAUAAAAAUACAAGUAUUUCCUUGAAUGAUUUUUGUAUUUUUCUGUAAAUUUUGCAGAAUUUUUCUCAUAUCCUCAGUUCCUGAACAAAUUUAGGAAUGAUUCUUGAACAAAGUUUUUCCGUGUAUUUAAUGAAUGCUGUAAUAAAAGAAUAAAUUGAAAAACUCUGUAUUUUCGUUGGUACAGAAUUUUGAAGUGGACAUGUCAGUAGACCAGAUGAAAAGUUAGAAUGUAGAUAUAAAUUAACUGUUGUUUAAAUGCCCAUAAGUUUUGUGUAAAUUAUUUUUUUUUUGCUUUUGUGUAAUAUGGAGGUAAUAUGGCACCUAAAAGGAAUAUAUUUCACGAAUUUAUAUUAGAUAUUCAUUUAACCUUCGCCUGACAAGAUACCCACCAAGGCAAGGAUGGGUCAGACCAAAUUGACAUUGUCAUAUCUUCUAAAGUUUUGCCUAAAUUGAAUCGCGAUUUUAAGUCACUGAACAAAAUCUUAAGAAUUUUCAAAAAAUGUAGAAACAAUUUUUUUUUUAAAAAUUGCUUCUUGAUUAUUUAUAACUUUUAUCAAUGUAUGUAUGUACGGAGAUAACCGGGACGAUUCAAAUAUUUUUUUAAUUCUAUUUUACAAAAAGACUUAAAAUCAUCCAGACUUUUCACUGUAAGUGUUUUAUGUUGUCAAAUAACGGAUAUAAAAAUAUUAAAUUACAUUUUUUAUUUGUUUAAAAAUUUUAUUGUUUUUAUUUAUUAACUUUUUUUGUUCUGUACCUAGAAAGAUGCAUUUUUUUCCUAAUUUUGCAAUUUAUCAAACCGAAUAUAAUAAAAGAUAGAUUUGAUGUCAAAUUAUUAAUUUAACAAUUGUUUAAACAAUGUAUUGUUGUUAUUUACUAACUUUUAUUGUAGUGCACCUAGAAAGUUUCCUUUUUUUCUAAUUUUGUAACUCAUAAAGCCGAAUAUAAUAACAGAUAAUAAAAGUUAAUAAAUAACAAAUAUUAUUUGUUUAAACAAAUGUUUAAAUAGUAAACUCAUAUAAAACCUUUAUGCUAUUAUAUUAUGCUUGUUAAGUUGUAAAAUUACACGGAAAAAUAAGUUCGUCAAUCAUUAACAGAAUAGUCUGUCACUUUGAGACGGGACAUAAAAUCGUUUAAAGGUUAAAAGUCUCUGUUUAUUACUAUUUAGAAAGAAUUCAUGAACCUUUAAAGAAUGUUCACUAAAAUUUAGAAAACUGUUUGUUAAAUUAUCUAUGACUGUCAAAAAAUAGUUAGACCGAUGAAUAACAAAAAAAAAUUAUUUUUUAUCACAAUUAUUGGUAAUUUCAAACACUGAUUGGCACAGAAUGAUAAUACACUUUCUCGUUGCACAGUUCGAUGAUUUUUUUUUACACUUUAAGAGCAUUUGAACCUUCGUGACGUCACAAAUCAUGGCGCAUGACACGCAAACUUCUCAGGUAUAUGAAAAGCACAAUUUUGAAUAUUUUUUAAAAAAACCUUUUGGAAAAUGUUCAGAAUAACAUAGACUCUGUCUGUUAUGUGCGGAAAAUUCAAAAUUUUGCGUUUAAAACGUUUUUUAAACAAUGUUAAGGUCACAAAUCAUGGCGCAUGACACGCAAACUUCUCAGGUAUGUGAAAAACACAAUUUUGAAUAUUUUUUAAAAAAACCUUUUGGAAAAUGUUCAGAGAAACAUAGACUAUGUCUGUUAUGUGCGAAAAAUUCAAAAUUUUGCGUAUAAAACGUUUUUUAAACAAUGUUUAAGUUGGUUGUCACAAGUAAGGAAAAAUACACGAAUUGCUUAUAUGUAGGCAUUGUUUAAAAAACGUUUUAAACGCAAAAUUUUGAAUUUUUCGCACAUAACAGACAGAGUCUAUGUUAUUCUGAACAUUUUCCAAAAGGUUUUUUUAAAAAAUAUUCAAAAUUGUGCUUUUCACAUACCUGAGAAGUUUGCGUGUUAUGCGCCAUGAUUUGUGACGUCACGAAGGUUCAAAUGCUCUUAAACACAUUUACGAAUUAUGACGCAUAUAACCUGAACCUAACUUACAUAUAUAUUUGCAUACUUAAAAACUACACAUACAAACGCACGCUUAUAACACUAAAAGUCACUGUUCUUAUAUACUACAUGACGAGAUUUCUUUACUACUUUCGAGAAAAGGUUUUUGCACUGAACAUCACAUAACAUCACGAUAUUGACUGCAAACUAUUUGUUGAAUUUCAUAUUGACAUUUUAUGUAUAUAGUGUAUAGCAGAAAUAUAUCACUUAACUUCGCUUAGAGUGAAAAUUUACCGAUAAAUUGUUUAAAAAAAUGAUAUAAAAGUGAAAAAUAAAGGUAAAUUAGUGUUUAUAUACAUGAUUUGUGGAAAAAUUGAGAUAACCCUGGCGGAUUUAAACGAAAAUAUUGGUUAAAAAAAUUUAUUAUUUAAACAAACAUAUUGGUGAGAAAUUUUUUUUUUAUUAAAAAUAUUGUUGGAAAAAAUGGAUUAUUUUUUCAAAAAUAUGUUUGACAAAUCAUUAUUUUUAAAGAAAUAUUCAAUAAAAAACAUUGUUUUAUCAAAAAUAAUAUUUUUUUGAUAAAAUAAUACAUUUUUUCACCAUUAUUUCCGUUUAAAUAAUUUUUUCAACUUUUUUUUAUAACAAAAUUCAUUUUCUUCACAAAGAUUUUUUAUGAAAAUAUAAAUUUUUUUGAUAAAAUAAUAUAUUUCUUUACCAAUAUUUCCGUUUAAUAAAUAAGAGAUGAUAAAAAAAAUACAGAAAAAAUUUAAAAAGAAAAAAAGAGUUCUGCCACCUACUUGCUAAAAAGCGCGUCUCUAUUGAUAUUAUCGAAGAAAUGUUGAUAAUAAACUGUAAUAGAUUGAAAUUAAUAAAUACAUUAAAUUUUUAUAAUUAUUUAACAAUAAUCAUCUUAAAAUGCAUAAAACUUAUUGAUUUUAAUAGGUAAUUAUACUAUCAAUUUCAUAAUUUUUUAUACAUUUCAAACAGAAUUUCAAUCUCAACCUCGUGUUCCACGAAUUUUCCGCGAAUUUCGUAAAGCAUUCGCAUCGCAUACAAUCCGCCAGGGUUAUCACAAUUUUUCCACAAAUCAUAUAUAUAAACACUAAUUUACCUUUAUUUUUCACUUUUAUAUCAUUUUUUAAAACAAUUUAUAGGUAAAUUUUCACUCUAAGCGAAGUUGAGCAAUUUCUAAGCGAAAUCGCUUAAAAUACGUUUGAACCAAUCCGCCAGGGCGUUUCACGGACUUUUCACUAAUGAUUUGUAAACGUUUACUAAAGUUGCGCACACUUGUAUAGUAUUCGAUAAAUUCUUUACUUUUAAAGAAUUCAGUUAUAAAUAUUUGAAAGUUUAAAUGACUUUUAAUAAAUAUUAAGUACACUACCGUCCGAAAUUGUGCGAACUCUGCUUUUUCAACAACUAUAAAACUGUUCAAAUCUUUAAAAAUAUUAAAACUAAAAUUUUUUCCUCUUUAUUUUAUUAAAGCUAAUAAGAGUCUGAAAGAAAUGACACCUUGACAAAGAGAAUAUGUUAAUUUUUCAAUUAGAUAUCUAAGAAAAACCCAAUUUUCAAUGUUUUUACUAUUUUUUAUAUUUCUCUGGCAAAAAUUAAUAUUUUUAAACGUUCUUAGGCUCAUUGAAGUCGUAUUUUGUUAUGCAAUUCAAAUUAUAUAAAACAAUUCAUGUACACAUUCUUCCCUAGCGUAUGCAAACCAUGAAAGUUGGCUCAUAAAAUGUCAAAAAAUUGUGAUUAAUAUUUAUAUGACAAAAAAUGAUCAGUAAAAUGUAUAAAUCUUAAAUUUACUUACAUAAAUCAGAGAAGUUUAGAAUGAUAUAUUUACUUGAUUUUUAAACAUUAUAUUUUAUUGUAGAAUUAAAUUUAAAUUUUUUGACAUUUUAUGAGCCAACUUUCCCGGUUUGCAUACGCUAGGGAAGAAUGUGUACAUGAAUUGUUUUAUAUAAUUUGAAUUGCAUAACAAAAUACGAUUUCAAUGAGCCUAAGAACGUUUAAAAAUAUUAAUUUUUGCCAGAGAAAUAAAAAAAUAGUAAAAACAUUGAAAAUUGGGUUUUUCUUAGAUAUCUAAUUGAAAAAUUAAUAUAUUCUCUUUGUCAAGGUGUCAUUUCUUUCAGAAUUUUAUUAGCUUUAAUAAAAUAAAGAGGAAAAAAUUUUAGUUUUAAUAUUGAAGAUUUGAACAGUUUUAUAGUUGUUGAAAAAGCAGAGUUCGCACAAUUUCGGACGGUAGUGUACCUUUCAAACAUCUAUUCCUGAUAGUUUAACAUUGAAUCAAAAAUAACUGCUAAUAUACUAAAUUCUAAAAAUUCUAUGACUUGUUUUUAAUAUUUCAACCAUGUUUUUAAGUUAUUGAAGAAGCUUAACUAAAAUUUUACGGAAAAAGUGUCCCGUCUCAAAGUGACAGACUAGUCUCUUAAUGAUUGACGAUCUUAUUUUUUCCGUGUAGGAAAAAAUUGCAACUUUCUUGGAACAUUAUGAAAAAAAUCUAAUAUGGCAAACAUAAAAUUAAAAAAAUUAUUGGAUUUUAAUAGAACGUCGUAUUUAAAGGUAUUUUGGCUCUCUGCUUAAGAAUCUAAAGUCAAUUUUUUUAAUUCAAAAUGGUAGAUUUAAUAUAAUUGAUAAUUUUUACUACUUUUUAUAAAGCUUGGUUUUGAGGAUUUUAUAGUCACAAGUUACGAAUCUGUAUUUAAACUUUUUUUUAAAUAGUUGAAUAUAGUUGUGUUUCGGAAAAAUUAUUUUAUGUGUAAAUUUAGUAUAUUAUAGUUUUGAAUGUAACAGGUUAUUAAUCUGUAAUUAAAAUUAGGUACUCUGAAAACUGUGUUUUAUUAUAAUACAACAAUUUUUCACAUUUGAUGUCCGCCAUAUUGGAUCAGUCAUUUUGAAGUUUUAAAACCAAACUAGAUAUGUAAUCAGCAACUCCAAAAAACCCCGAGUAACUAGAUUCAUGAAAAUCCAUUAAAAAUUCAUCGAGUAAAUAGUUUUGUCCUGUUAAAUUCGGGUAUCAGAACACUGUGAUAAAGGUGUCUCUAUUUGUAAUAUUUUUUUAGUUUUUAAAUGUUAAAAUUCUUGUUUUUAUCUGAUGUAACUUCCCGGAUAAAAAAACUUGUACAAGAAAAUGUACAAGUUCUUGUACAUGUUCAUGAUUGAACUUGUACAUUUUCUUGUACAUGUUCAAGUAAUGUCCUUGAACAAGUUCAGCAUCUAGAAUUGAGACAUGUUCUUGUAUCAGAACUUGUAGAAGAUCCUGGACAAGAAAAUAAACUUGUACAAUAAAAUGUACCUGUGUUUUGUACAUAUUUUUUAGUGCAGGUUUCAUGUACAUUUUCUUGUACCAGAUGUGAAACAUGUUCUUGUACAUAUUCAUUUAUAUUUUUUAAAUUAAAAAAUUUGAAGGCUGCGCAGUAGUUUUCUAAGCCUUUACAGCUGCGCAAUAAUUUUUAGCAUACAUAAGUGAAGAGUCUUAAUAAUUAUAACUUAUUAAAAUUUAAAAUUUUUUUCAAAAACAUUUUUUAUACAAAUGUUCUUGUUCAAGAACAUAAACCUGUUCAUGUAAAAGUACUUGUACAUGAAACCUGCACACAAGAAUAUGUAAAAGAACAUGUACAUUUUAUUGUACAAGUUUAUUUUCUUGUCCAGAAAAUUCUACAAGUUCUUAUACAAGAACAUGUCUCAAUUCUGGAUGCUGAACUUGUUCAAGAACAUUACUUGAACAUGUACAAGAAAAUGAACAAGUUCAUUCAUGAACAUGUACAAGAACUUGUACAAGUUUUUUCAGCCGGGUUGUCACCCCCAUGGUAAUCGCUAAUUAAAAACACUAAGGUUGCGACCUGACAAUAAAACCAAAUCAAAAUCUCAAAUUUAAUUCAAAAAACCUUAAAUCUAGUGACAAAGUCACUAUACUAGUCACCCUGCAGAGUAGGAUUUUACGGUAAUCGAUAUGUCAAAUACUUUUUAUUUUGAUUGAUACAACGAUAUUAAUUCGAUAUUAUAUUGAGAUAAAUUAAAAAUAUUAAAAUUAAGUUACUAAAAAAUUAAAGAAUUUUUUAAAUGUAAUUGCGAAUCUGAAAUGCUUGUUUGAGAAUUCAAUUUUUUUUAGAAUGAACUGUAUUAUCAAAAAUGAUGAAUAUUUGCUCAUAUUACGUCUACGAUUAACAGAUUGCAUCCGACAAUUUCGGAAUUAGUUAGAAUUGUAUGCAGGUAGGCGUGAAUAUAAUGUAUUAAGGUCUUAGACAAAAUAGAUUUGUACUUACAGUAAUUAUAGGAGGAUGGAUCUAUAUGAGCAAUAAAGAAAAUCAUUUUAAUUUCGAUUUGAAAAUUAAAAUAUCAUCGACGAUAUCAAGUCUUUUGUAAUUGUGAAUUAUUUUCCAAUUAUUUACUUUGCUAAGUCAAUUAACUGUACGAAAGUUUAUUUUUAGAGCAUUUCAUCAAACGAAAAAUCAAAUAAAGUUUUAUUCCGUAUACGUAUGUAACAUAUUCUGACGGUUAGAAUGAAAUGUUAACAAUA